rnacentral:rRNA from 1 species
GAUGAACGCUGGCGGCGUGCCUAAUACAUGCAAGUCGAGCGAACAGAUGAGGAGCUUGCUCCUCUGACGUUAGCGGCGGACGGGUGAGUAACACGUGGAUAACCUACCUAUAAGACUGGGAUAACUUCGGGAAACCGGAGCUAAUACCGGAUAAUAUAUUUAACCGCAUGGUUCAAUAGUGAAAGACGGUUUUGCUGUCACUUAUAGAUGGAUCCGCGCCGCAUUAGCUAGUUGGUAAGGUAACGGCUUACCAAGGCAACGAUGCGUAGCCGACCUGAGAGGGUGAUCGGCCACACUGGAACUGAGAGACGGUCCAGACUCCUACGGGAGGCAGCAGUAGGGAAUCUUCCGAAAUGGGCGAAAGCCUGACGGAGCAACGCCGCGUGAGUGAUGAAGGUCUUCGGAUCGUAAAACUCUGUUAUUAGGGAAGAACAAAUGUGUAAGUAACUAUGCACGUCUUGACGGUACCUAAUCAGAAAGCCACGGCUAACUACGUG